ensembl:rRNA 5S_rRNA 5S ribosomal RNA
GCUUACAGCCAUACCAUCCGAAGAACGCCCGAUCUCGUCUGAUCUUGGAAAGUAAGAAGGCUUGGGCCUGGUUAGCACUUGGAUGGGAGACUGCCUGAGAAUACCAGAUGCUGUAAGCU